GAACCUGCACAGAAGGGGGCUCGAUAAAUAUCAGCUGCUGUUGUAAUUGUGAUUGUUGACAACGACUACCUGUCACGACUGACCCACACACAGCAGUGCCUGAGAUGCUGGCUGAAUGACAGUGAGGAAAAGCUGACCAGCUGCUGCAGAGCACUGUCCCCGUGGCACUCGGACGGCAUGGCUGGUGGGCUGCGACUCCCAACGCAGAUGAGAAUAGCCCCGCGGGGACCAGAGGCUGAGCAGUGCUUUACCACCACGGUCUCGGUGUGAAGAUGGUCCUGUACAGAGAGUAGACCCAUGGCCAGGCCUGGCCAGUUGAAUUCCUGCAUGAAUUUUAUGUAUAUAUGCUGAGGAGAGAGCAGCUUCCACUUACCUCUUGGAUCUCCAGGACCCAACAAAUAGCGGGAAAGAGAAAACUAAAACAAGAUCACCGUGCAGCGCAGUACAGAGGACACAAGGAUGGCCCUUUCUACAAUGAGCCACUGUGAUGCUUGAGCUGAAAUGGCUCUUCUGAAGCCAAGAACCCUGGGAGGUGAGGCCGGGCUUCUUCGGGGCAGGGAUUACGUCCCACUCCACGGGGGAGACAGCCUGCAGGGAGGUGAAGUGGCUGCCUGCAUUUACUGGUUAGAUUACGAAGAAGGGGAGGAAAAGGACCCAGAGUUUCUCGCUGCCUCCCCCAGAUCUCCCUCUUCCCCUGCGCCGCUUGCCAAACAUCAGCCAGCGCCGGGAGUGUGA